rnacentral:rRNA from 1 species
UACAGAGGUCUCAAGCGUUGUUCGGAUUCAUUGGGCGUAAAGGGUGCGUAGGUGGCGCGGUAAGUCGGGUGUGAAAUUUCGGAGCUUAACUCCGAAACUGCAUUCGAUACUGCCGUGCUUGAGGACUGGAGAGGAGACUGGAAUUUACGGUGUAGCAGUGAAAUGCGUAGAGAUCAUAAGGAAGACCAGUGGCGAAGGCGGGUCUCCUGGACAGUUCCUGACGCUGAGGCACGAAGGCCAGGGGAGCAAACGGG